rnacentral:rRNA from 1 species
UACGGAGGGGGCUAGCGUUGUUCGGAAUUACUGGGCGUAAAGCGCACGUAGGCGGCUUUGUAAGUUAGAGGUGAAAGCCCAGGGCUCAACCCUGGAAUUGCCUUUAAGACUGCAUCGCUUGAACAUCGGAGAGGUAAGUGGAAUUCCGAGUGUAGAGGUGAAAUUCGUAGAUAUCGAGAGGAACACCGGUGGCGAAGGCGGCCAACUGGACGAAUACUGACGCUGAGACUCGAAAGCGUGGGGAGCAAACAGG